AACGCGAAGAACCUUACCUGGGUUUGACAUGGAUCGGGAGUGCUCAGAGAUGGGUGUGCCUCUUUUGGGGUCGGUUCACAGGUGGUGCAUGGCUGUCGUCAGCUCGUGUCGUGAGAUGUUGGGUUAAGUCCCGCAACGAGCGCAACCCUUGUUCACUGUUGCCAGCACGUUAUGGUGGGGACUCAGUGGAGACCGCCGGGGUCAACUCGGAGGAAGGUGGGGAUGACGUCAAGUCAUCAUGCCCCUUAUGUCCAGGGCUUCACGCAUGCUACAAUGGCUGGUACAGAGAGUGGCGAGCCUGUGAGGGUGAGCGAAUCUCGGAAAGCCGGUCUCAGUUCGGAUUGGGGUCUGCAACUCGACCCCAUGAAGUCGGAGUCGCUAGUAAUCGCAGAUCAGCACG
rnacentral:rRNA from 1 species